AGCACUUGACACACCUGAGGCUUGUGAGUGUGAGUGUAUGUGUGUUUGUGCGCGCGUGUGCAGGGAGUAAGCUUAGCUGGAGAGAUUUGGAGGUAGGAGGAGGCUCUGAGCAAUACCCAGGCCCAGAGAGAGGACAGAGGCCAGGGCAGCCACAGAGGAGAGGCACAGGAAGCCCUGCUCUUGCCCAAGGGAAGCCCCGCCACCCUGAAGUCACUCAACCAAAGGAAGUAGAGCUGAAACCACCAAGUGCCUUGGGGAAUUUGCCCUUUCCCAGAAACAAGCAAAUGACUGCGCUUCGUCCCCUGCUCUAGCCAGUCACAGUUACAAGGCGACUGCAACAGCGCAGCGGCUGGACCCAGGGUGCAGGCGAUUCCCACUUCUGCCCGGGUGCCCGGAAGCUGCCAGGUAGCACGGCUCCGCCUUGCCAACGCCGGAAGUCCUACGCGCUCCACCCACUGACAGAUCAACAAGGAAGAAUUCCAAACCUCAACAAAGGUCACCGCUGAAUGGAGGUGUAAACAUCCACUGGUAUAAACAUUCUCAAAGCCACUCUGAAGUCAUGGUCUAGGGAAGGAAACAGCCUCAGUUGGGAAGCGGUGGGGAUGGAUUUCCCUUACCAUCAGCGCUAUUCAGGGACUCAGGCACCAUGAGCUCUGGAGGAAACCAGCUGCCAUACUGAAAGUAUACGCAAGGUGUCCUGGGAGGCUCUCCACGCAGCGAGGAGCUCAGGCUACCCACCGAUGGCCAGCAUUAAGUCAUGCAUGUGAGCGGCUCACCUUGAAAGGAAAUCCUGCAGCUCCAGUCAGCCUGCAGACAGCUGCAAACCCAGCCAAUAUCCACACCCUAACAGGAAGGUUGGCUCCUCAACCCUUAUGAGGCAUGGAUCUAGGACCACCCAGCUGGACUGCUCCUAAGUUCCUGGCCCAUUGUAAUUGUGUGAGAUGAUAAAUGUUUAUUGCUGUUUCAAGCUAAGUUGGGGGGAAUUUGUCAGGCAGUAACAGGUAACUACUAAUCCAGGUCAUCGUUCCUCAUUUUCACUCACAUCGGUCACCCUUUUCACAUAACCAUGUAUAGCUGCAAGGGAGUCUGGGAAAUGUAGUCUUUAUUUGGCCAAUCAUGUACCAGCUGUAACUUCUAUAAUUCAAUCUCUGCCCAGUCCCUUUUGCUGUGUAAGACAUCAUAUUUACAGGGACUAGGACUUAGACAUGUUUGGGAGUCAACAAGCAGCCAACCAUGAUAAAGCAACUAAUAUAUAAAUGACUAGAGGAGCUUUAAUUGUAAUAGCUGAAUACUAGUUAAAUUUCCUUCAGUAGAUGAGUGGUUAAACAAUGAUACAGCUAUACCACAAUACUACUCAGCAAUAAAAAGAAGUCAACUAUGCAUGCACACACCUUGGAUGAACCUAAAAAAAAUUAAACUGAGUGAAGCAAGCCAAUAUUUAGAGCUAUAUGACUGCUAUAUGACUCCAUUUACAUAAAAUUCAGGAAAUAACAUUAUCAUAGAGAUGGAGAAUAGAGAGACAUGGAGGGGUUAGGAAUGGGGGUUAGGAGGUGGCGGCUAUGAACAAGAGCCUUGUGAUGGUGCAGUCUGGGAUUUUGGAUGUGGUGGUGCCUACAUAAAGAGACACAGGCGAUAAAAUUGCUUAGAACUUCACAUGCACAUGUGCACACACAGACAAGUGCAUGAUGGGUAAAAUCUGGAGAAGCUCCAUGGACUGUACUGUAAGUUUUCCAGAUUGUUUUUUUGUUUUUGUUUUUGUUUUUUACACUUUAUUGUAUUUAAUAGUUUUCCAGUUUGGUAUCUUGCUAUGGUUGUAUAAGAUGUUAGCACUGGGGAUCACCCCAUACUUUGUACUUUGCUCUUUCCUAUGUCUAUGAUUAAAUCAAAAUCUUAAAAAUUUGCCUUUUCUUUUACAUUGCUGGACUGCCAGGCUGGAGAUGUGGAUUCUGGAUUCCCCUGAUUCUUUUCCUAACUUGCUGUUUAGCCUGAGGCAAACCCCUUGUCAUCUCUAAGACUAUCACGCAUCUGUGAAAUUUGACUUUGGCUUAUGUCAUAAGUUUUGAAGUGCUUAACAACGAAAUCCUUUAAGAUGCUGACAGUGAAACCC